AUUGAACGCUGGCGGCAUGCCUUACACAUGCAAGUCGAACGGCAGCACGGACUUCGGUUUGGUGGCGAGUGGCGAACGGGUGAGUAAUGUAUCGGAACGUACCUUUCAGUGGGGGAUAACGUAGCGAAAGUUACGCUAAUACCGCAUAUUUUGUGAGCAGGAAAGCAGGGGAUCGCAAGACCUUGCGCUGAUUGAGCGGCCGAUAUCAGAUUAGCUAGUUGGUGGGGUAAAAGCCUACCAAGGCGACGAUCUGUAGCGGGUUUGAGAGGAUGAUUCGCCACACUGGAACUGAGACACGGUCCAGACUCCUACGGGAGGCAGCAGUGGGGAAUUUUGGACAAUGGGGGCAACCCUGAUCCAGCCAUGCCGCGUGAGUGAAGAAGGCCUUCGGGUUGUAAAGCUCUUUCAGCCGGGAAGAAAUCGCAUAGGCUAAUACCCUGUGUGGAUGACGGUACCGGAAUAAGAAGCACCGGCUAACUACGUG
rnacentral:rRNA from 1 species